rnacentral:SRP_RNA from 1 species
GCCAGGCAUGGUGGUGCAUGCCUGUAGUCCCAGCUACUUGGGAGGCUGAGGCAGGAAAAUUGCUUGAACCCAGGAAGUGGAGGUUGCAGUGAGCCAAGAUUGCGCCACUGCACCCCAGCCUGGGUGACAGAGUGAGACUCUGUCUCAA